rnacentral:rRNA from 1 species
GGUGGUGCAUGGUUGUCGUCAGCUCGUGUCGUGAGAUGUUGGGUUAAGUCCCGCAACGAGCGCAACCCUUAUUACUAGUUGCCAGCAUUUAGUUGGGCACUCUAGUGAGACUGCCGGUGACAAACCGGAGGAAGGUGGGGACGACGUCAAAUCAUCAUGCCCCUUAUGACCUGGGCUACACACGUGCUACAAUGGAUGGUACAACGAGUUGCGAGACCGCGAGGUUUAGCUAAUCUCUUAAAACCAUUCUCAGUUCGGAUUGUAGGCUGCAACUCGCCUACAUGAAGCCGGAAUCGCUAGUAAUCGCGGAUCAGCAUGCCGCGGUGAAUACGUUCCCGGGCUUGUACACAC